rnacentral:rRNA from 1 species
GUGGGGAAUAUUGGACAAUGGGCGCAAGCCUGAUCCAGCCAUACCGCGUGGGUGAAGAAGGCCUUCGGGUUGUAAAGCCCUUUUGUUGGGAAAGAAAUCCUGUCGAUUAAUACUCGGUGGGGAUGACGGUACCCAAAGAAUAAGCACCGGCUAACUUCGUGCCAGCAGCCGCGGUAAUACGAAGGGUGCAAGCGUUACUCGGAAUUACUGGGCGUAAAGCGUGCGUAGGUGGUGGUUUAAGUCUGCUGUGACAGCCCUGGGCUCAACCUGGGAAUUGCAGUGGAUACUGGAUCACUAGAGUGUGGUAGAGGGAUGCGGAAUUUCUGGUGUAGCAGUGAAAUGCGUAGAGAUCAGAAGGAACAUCCGUGGCGAAGGCGGCAUCCUGGGCCAACACUGACACUGAGGCACGAAAGCGUGGGGAGCAAACAGGAUUAGAUACCCGGGUAGUCC